CUUGUGGUUAUCACUUCAUCUCUUCCAUCCGUUCUUCUUGAAGAUUGUCUAGUGAAGUACAAAAUAGCAGUGCUUUACGAACUUUUUAAAGGCUGAAGGAGAAGGCAACAUGAGUUCUGACUAUUCCAAAGUGACGGCAUCUCUGCAGAAGUCAUGCUCUUCACCAAGUGAGUGCACCUAGGGUCAGUAUUCUAUGCAGAACUGAUUCCUGUGAUCCCUGCUGGAAUCACAGCGGAUGGUUUAACACGAACAUGAGAUGCUCCCUCUCAGUGCCUUCCCUGACUACUGAGGCUCAGCAGUGCCCUGACUGGCCAGGUACAUGUCCCACUGCUCUUUGCCACGUUGAGAUGAGGAUGGAGGAUCUUUCUGUCCUUCCAGUCACGUGUUGGGCAGUGGUGGGCCCACAGCCCAUGUUCUCAGUGAGGUGUGUAUGGAGGAUGAUCAGAAGGGGAUGUUCCCAGUUCGAGUGGCUUGAGCUUCCCCCCCCUGCCAGUCUCUUUGGCUGUUUGGGCUUCGAAUGUUUGGGGAUAAGCAUUUGGCCAUGUUUUAAGUUUAACAGAAGUCAACUUUGUGAGGAAGGGAUCCCUUCAGAAGCAGUGCCUAGCUUCCAGCUCUGAUAAUCCUUCUGCAGAAGUUUCUGACCGUCUGUUUUCUGUGUCUGUUGUGGCAGCAAACAGUGAUUUGUUGUUGUCUCCUCCUGUAAAAAUAUCAAUGUUUGAUUGAUUGUUGUGGCAGUAUUUUCACCUACAAACCAAAGGCUAACUGCAAUAUCUUCUCCAGGCAAUUUCAGCCAAUGAUGGUCUGUCUGGGCUUUGCUGAAGAAGAGGAGCUGGUUGCUCUCAAUCUUACUUCAUGUCUCUUGCCCUGUUGACAUUCUUCAUCACAGAUAGUUUAGCUGGAAAAUUUUAGUCUUGUAGUUCCCUGCUGUACAAUGCACUUGGUGAUAGCCUGUUUCUUCCACAAGGUCUCUCUGCACUAUAGAUCACUUAAGCGAAGGUUGCAUUUCAGCAACCUUCAUCUGUUUGGACAGUGAAUUGGAUUUACUGUCUGUGUAUAUAUAUAUUUAUGUGUGUGUGUAAAUCACUAUAUAUAUGAUCG
rnacentral:lncRNA from 12 species